rnacentral:rRNA from 1 species
UGGGGAAUAUUGGACAAUGGGCGGAAGCCUGAUCCAGCAACGCCGCGUGAGGGAUGACGGCCUUCGGGUUGUAAACCUCUUUCAGUACCGACGAAGCGAAAGUGACGGUAGGUACAGAAGAAGGACCGGCCAACUACGUGCCAGCAGCCGCGGUAAUACGUAGGGUCCGAGCGUUGUCCGGAAUUAUUGGGCGUAAAGGGCUCGUAGGCGGUUUGUCGCGUCGGGAGUGAAAACAGCGGGCUUAACUCGUUGCUUGCUUUCGAUACGGGCAGACUAGAGGUAUGCAGGGGAGAAUGGAAUUCCUGGUGUAGCGGUGAAAUGCGCAGAUAUCAGGAGGAACACCGGUGGCGAAGGCGGUUCUCUGGCAUUACCUGACGCUGAGGAGCGAAAGUGUGGGGAGCGAACAGGAUUAGAU